AUGGCGGCGGCGGCACGGGCUCCCCGCGCGGCCCCGGCCCCAGCGCCCGGCUUCCGCCGCCGCCCCCGCCCGCCCGGAAGCGCGGCCCGAGGGGGGCCCGGGCCCCGCCGUCUCCCCGCUCCGCUCCCCGGCCCGCCCCGCUCACCUCGGGCCUCGGGCGGCCCCCGGGCGCCGUGCGGGAGGCGGCGGCGCUGCUGGCGGCGGAGCGGCGCGGAGCGGCCUGCCUCAUCCCCGGCGGGCCCGCGCGCCCCGGUGCCUCAUGAGUCACGGUGCCGGAGCCGCCGAGCACACGUGCGCGGCCCCGCGCGGCCGCCUCCGGCUUCGGGAGGGGAAGGAGGAGGCGGGGGGGGGGGGGGGGCGGCGGUGGAAGCGGCUCCGCGCAGCGCCCGCCUCGGGCCGGGCCGGGCCCCGCGCUGCCGACCGGGCGGCGAACCGGGAGCGGCUCCGCGCCGUGCGCCGCCCGCGGGAACGAAGCGCCGCGCGCCCCUCGCUCUGCCCUCCAUCCCGGCCGGGGCUCCUCUGCUCCUCUCGGGGCGGCACCGCGGGGUUCCGCUCCGCUCCGCGGGGAGCGCUGCUCGGCCCUGCCGGGAGCGGAACGGGGCCCCUCUGGAGACAUCUGCUCCGGUAGCACGGAACCCAAACGGUGUUCGAGAGCCGUGGCGAGGUGGCUCUGUUGGACACGGCUUAGUGGGCACGGUGGGAUGGGUUGGGGUUCACCUGGUGGUCUCUUUUCCAACCUUAUCACUCUGCUAUAACAUUCCCCAGAACGAGUCAGAGAACCACACGGUCAGGGACAACGUGAACGUGUCCCUUCACACGAGGCUCAUCUUCACACCCCAGUAUCCAUCACCACGAGCUGCCAAACAGCGCAGGGAACUGGAGGGCAGAGGCAUCCCUGGAGCACGGAGCAGCCUGCAGCACUGCGGCACGCGGCCCGAUGCCACCAGCACGGCCCCCAGAGGAGCAGUGCGCAGGGAGAGCUGGAGUGGUUCUGCAAAGCCAGGGCUGGAAGGGCAGCAGCAAUCUCCCAAGGUUUAA
rnacentral:lncRNA from 1 species